rnacentral:rRNA from 1 species
UGAGGAAUAUUGGUCAAUGGACGAGAGUCUGAACCAGCCAAGUAGCGUGCAGGAUGACGGCCCUAUGGGUUGUAAACUGCUUUUGUUUGGGAAUAAUCGACAUUACGUGUAAUGUUUUGCAUGUACCAUUCGAAUAAGGACCGGCUAAUUCCGUGCCAGCAGCCGCGGUAAUACGGAAGGUCCAGGCGUUAUCCGGAUUUAUUGGGUUUAAAGGGAGUGUAGGCGGUUGGUUAAGCGUGUUGUGAAAUGUAGAUGCUCAACAUCUGACUUGCAGCGCGAACUGGCUGACUUGAGUACACACAACGUAGGCGGAUUUCAUGGUGUAGCGGUGAAAUGCUUAGAUAUCAUGAAGAACUCCGAUUGCGAAGGCAGCUUACGGGAGUGUUACUGACGCUUAAGCUCGAAGGUGCGGGUAUCGAACAGG